rnacentral:rRNA from 1 species
CCUACGUGAGGCAGCAGUGAGGAAUAUUGGUCAAUGGACGAGAGUCUGAACCAGCCAAGUAGCGUGAAGGAUGACUGCCCUAUGGGUUGUAAACUUCUUUUAUAUGGGAAUAACAUGUUCCACGUGUGGGAUUUUGUAUGUACCAUAUGAAUAAGGAUCGGCUAACUCCGUGCCAUCAGCCGCGGUAAUACGGAGGAUCCGAGCGUUAUCCGGAUUUAUUGGGUUUAAAGGGAGCGUAGGUGGAUUGUUAAGUCAGUUGUGAAAGUUUGCGGCUCAACCGUAAAAUUUAAGUUGAAACUGGCAGUCUUGAGUACAGUAGAGGUGGGCGGAAUUCGUGGUGUAGCGGUGAAAUGCUUAGAUAUCACGAAGAACUCCGAUUGCGAAGGCAGCUCACUGGACUGCAACGGACACUGAGGCUCGAAAGUGUGGGUAUCAAACAGGAUUAGAUACCCCUGUAGUC